UUUGUAUAAAUGUUGUAAAAUUGUAUGUAUCCAGUACUAUUUAAAACAAAACUAACUGUGCUAAGAUCGACAAUAAGUCUCGCAGGAAUUAAUACAAUAGAUCUUUGGACGAUGAAGCAACAUCCCGCAUCUAAAGUUUUAUAUCACUAAUAUCAGUUUUCUUUAAGGAUUUACAAUAAUAAGAUCUGUUACAAUCAGAAUAUAGUUAGUUGUCAAACCUGUUAUGCUAAUUCUACAAUGAAUCGGAAGUCUUAGUCAGUAAAGUUGACCAAUAGCCAACUUGUAAGAAUAACUGAUUGAUCAAAUUCAUCCAUUAAGAUUAAUAUGGUUCCUUUUACAAUGAAUCAUAAGUCAUAAAUCAGAAGUCAGAAACUAAAAAUUGACUACUGUGAUUGGUUUAUUUCUAACUUACGACUUAUAAUUUAUGACCUAUGGCUUAUUGUAGAAGGCCCAUAAGACUACCGACUCAUUGUAAAAUCAGUAUUAUAUUAACUUGAAUUUUCACGAUGAAAUUUUUAUCAUUGUCUAAAGUCGAUACAGCAACACAUUGUAUGCUUUCUAACAAGCGAUGCGACACAAUGAUCAUGUCAUCUUUGUUUAACAUUGGCAAACAACAAGGAUGUAAUGAUCCAUUAUGUCAUUUGUGUCGCUUGUUGGAAGGCACACAUAAUUAUCCGGUACGAUAGUGAAAUGUUUAAUAGGAACCGGUAAUGAACCGUGGAAGGAAUGACUUAUAUUCCUUUCUUUUUACAAUCAUAUACCGCCGUCGUUUCUUUUUACAAUCAUUCCACCGCUUUUAUUCACCGGUGAAUUGUUUAGCUCGAGGUUAAACGUGAGCAGUGAGGUGAAAUUGAGACAAAGACAUAGAGAAUGGACUGCGCAAUCCUUAUCUAAGUAGUAUUCAAAUAUGGUCGACAAUAAUAAGAGAGAGGGACCGUGGAAGACGGCCAAUUUCCCUCUCAUUCUCUCUCCCAUUCUCUCUCCCAUUGAAUGGAAAGAUGGCCGUCUUCCACGAUCCCUCUCUCUUAUUUUUAUCAACCAUUUUGACACAUGGAUCUUGCAAUCCAUUUUCUAUGUCUUUGAAUUGAGAUGACACACACGCCACACGGAAGCCGUUCGGGAACAUUCACCACCCAAAAACACACGAUAUUCCCACUACUUCUUCACUGAAGUCAUCGAAACACACCAACAAGUGAUGUUUCUGAACGCAGCCCAGUAAGGUAAUGUAGUGUAGGCCCUGCCUUAGACGCUUAGAAUGAAUUUAGAUUGAUGUUCUAUUUAAGGUGGCUGUGAUGCUCACGCGAACGAGUCCCGUUGGACUUCUGAUGGCAAGUCGCCACACUCUCAACAUCGAUAAACUGUCACUCACAGGGUGUAUUCCUUUACAUAGCGAUUAGCACAGAGAAUAUCAUUUUACCCUGAAGAUUUAUAUGAAUAGACUGCUGACUCAAUGUGAUAGAAAGGGAUGAACCUGAUUCCAAGCUGUCCUUGUUUCAGUUUCCAUGUGUGAGAACCUAACUGGAUGAGGGAAAGGCACCCAGGAGCUGGUCUCUUGAUUGCGCAGAAUUUGAUGAGUCUGCGUCCCUCCUAUACGGAAGAACAGCGGAUAUCAACCUACCUGCUAAAAAACUCUGCGUAUUCAGCACUUCUGCAAAACCAUAUUGGGCACACCUCGGAAUCGCCUACCCGGCGGCACUUCAUCAAGGUGCAUCCAAGUCCAGGCCUGACGCUCCCACUCGGCCCGCUCCUUCUUGCGCAUGACAACCUCGCAGAAAUCUGCGAGAGCCGUCCACGCAGCGGGGCACAUAGCCGCCUGCCAUAUGUCCUGUCAAGGACAUCGAGCCCCAACCGCUGAACAAAAAGUGACGUCCUCUCCGCGGUCCAAGAUGGGCAACACAACACGUGUGCAUCGCUGUAGUCGCACGACAAUGCGCACAAAUCGGCGACGCGUUACGCUGUAUCUCAAAAAGAUAGGCCUUAUGCACUCAUGACCCAUUAAAAUCUGGAUCAUGCGGAUUGUAUGAAUAUACUAAAAAUAAAGAAUUGGGCCCCUCUAUCGCUCAUUCUCGUGAGAGUGCAAUCACA
rnacentral:lncRNA from 1 species